rnacentral:rRNA from 1 species
UACGUGGGCCCCAAACGUUAUCCGGUUUUACUGGGUGUAAAAUGUCGUGUAGGUGUUCUGGUAAGUUUUUGUUUAAAGACUAAGGCUUAACCUUAGAAAAGACAAAAAUACUACCAGAAUAGAGUUAUCUUUAGGGAGAUUGGAACUCAAGGAGGAGUAGUGAAAUGCGUUGAUACCUUGGGGAACACCAGUGGCGAAGGCGAAUCUCUGGAAGAUAACUGACACUGAGACACGAAAGCUAGGGGAGCGAAGCAGAUUAGAGACCUGCGUAGUCCUAGCCUUAAACGCAUGCUUGCUAGCCGCAUUUUGUCUGACUUUUGUCUGACAAGGUGUAGCGAAGGUAACCCGUUAAGCAAGCUACCUGGGGAGUACGACCGCAAGGUUAAAACUCAAAGGAAUUGGCGGGGAGGCACACAACCAGUGGAACAUGUGGUUCAAUUCGAUACAAACCGAAGAACCUCACCAAGAUUUGACAUGCUAGCGUCCUAUUUCGCAGAAAUGCGAAAAAUUCGCAAGAAGGCUAGCACAGGUGCUGCAUGGCUGUCGUCAGCUCGUUCCGUGAGGAGUACCCUUAAGUGGGACAACGAGCGCAACCCUUGUCUUGUGUUAAAUCUGUCACAAGAUACUGCCCCGACAUUUCGUCGGGGAGGAAGGAAAGGCAGACGUCAAGUCAGCAUGGUCCUUAUAUCUUGGGCUACACACAUGUUACAAUGAGAUGAACAGCGGGCUUUGCCAAACGGCAACGUUUUAGCAAAUCCCACAAAUCAUCUCUCAGUUGGGAUUGAGGUCUGCAACCCGACCUCAUGAACACGGAAUUGGUAGUAAUUGCGGAUCAGUCAUGCCGCGGUGAAUACGUUCUUGCCUCUUGCACACACCGCCCGUCAAGCCAACAAAGUCGGUGAUAUUCGAAUUCCGAUUUAAUCGGGAGAGAAUAUUGUCGGCGAUGGGGGUU